rnacentral:rRNA from 1 species
UACGGAGGAUCCAAGCGUUAUCCGGAUUUAUUGGGUUUAAAGGGUGCGUAGGCGGCCAGAUAAGUCAGUGGUGAAAUCUCCUUGCUUAACAAGGAAACUGCCAUUGAUACUGUUUGGCUUGAGUAUAGUUGCUGUGGGCGGAAUAUGACAUGUAGUGGUGAAAUACAUAGAGAUGUCAUAGAACACCGAUUGCGAAGGCAGCUCACAAAACUAUAACUGACGCUGAGGCACGAAAGUGCGGGGAUCAAACAGG